rnacentral:rRNA from 1 species
UACGGGGGGGGCAAGCGUUGUUCGGAAUUACUGGGCGUAAAGGGCUCGUAGGCGGCCAACUAAGUCAGACGUGAAAUCCCCAGGCUCAACCUGGGAACUGCGUCUGAUACUGGAUGGCUUGAAUUCGGGAGAGGGAUGCAGAAUUCCAGGUGUAGCGGUGAAAUGCGUAGAUAUCUGGAGGAAUACCGGUGGCGAAGGCGGCAUCCUGGACCGACAUUGACGCUGAUGAGCGAAAACUAGGGGAGCAAACGGG